GCCAACAUUCAGCCUCCUCUGCCCAUCAGCCUUGCUGACACAGGGAGUGGAGAUUUGUGUAGAGAAAUGACUCAUUCAAAUAUGACUUAAUCUAAACCGUAAGUGUAUGAUUUAUUAAUGUGCCACCAGGCCUUACACCAAGAGAGCCAUUCCAGAGAAAAGUCCUUUUUCUCCUGAGAACAGUGCCAGCAGCUGGCUUCGUGACAUUCUGGAAGCCCCGUGCAAUGCUGUCAGGAGCAUAGGGAUUUUACUUUAUCUCCCUUGCUUAUGCUCCACAUAACUGAAAUAUCUCACUGGAAGCUGCAGCAGUGCUGGCCCCUUGCACAGCCAUAUGUGACCACUGCAGAACAAUCAGUUGGAGAGACAGUUUGGACUACAUGGAGGGUGGAGAUAAGGACAAAGUGAAGAAUACACAGGAACCAGUGCCUCCUCCUGGAACUAUGCAACUCCAAGCUGCUUCCAUCAGCUGCUAGGUCCAGUAGGGAGGGACCUACUGAGAGGGUGUGGGGAAGAGCGAGAAAAAGAUUUCCGCUCUGGAAGGUAAACAAAUACUCUCUGGAGAGAGAAGAGGAAUGUCCCUAGCAGAUGUCUCCAGAGAAGACAAGACUUUAAAUUCCGCCAGGGAAAUAUACAAUGUCUAACUUCUAAGGCACAUUUGCCAUUCAAUCAUGCUUUAACCCACGUUGCCAGAAAUUUUUGCUCACUAGGUUUUGACUGUACAGGAAUGUGAAAAUAUUCAUGAAGAGUUGUUUUCCAAUGCUAAAGAAUUGAUGUGUUUUAACAGUUGAAUUAAUUGUAUUGAUUAUGAUCACACCUACUUUUUAUAUAUCUUCAUUUCUAACGUUUCUGUACAAUCCUGCCUUUCCACCUGAUAUAGUUAGGCCUUGUGUCAUCAACCAAAUCUCAUCUUGAAUUGUAAUCGCCAUAAUCCCCACGUAUUUAGGGAGAGACCUGGAGGGAGGUGUUUGGAUCAUGGGGGCGGUUUCCCGCAUGCUGUUCUCAUGACCAUGAGAGUAAGUUCUCAAGAGAUCUGAUGGUUUUAUAAGCGUCUGUCAUUUCCACUGCUUGCACUUCUGUGUCCUGCCACCUUGUGAAGAAGGACGUGGUUGCUUCCCCUUCCACCAUGAUUGUGUUUCCUGAGGCCUCCCCAGCCUUGCAGAGCUGUGAGUCAAUUAAACCUCUUUCCUUUAUAAAUUACUCAGUCUCUGUAUUCCUCUGCAGCAGUGUGAGAACAGACUAAUACAUCACCACUUUAUUUACUUUACUCUCUCCCCAUACCGAGGUUUUCUACAUUUUCUUUCUAGGUCUCUACAGUUUCUGCAAAGAUCCUUUAUGGAACUCUUAGGGAAGCUGGGAUGUAUAAUAAAUAAAGGGCUCUUUUCUUUGAGUCCCACACCCAUUUUCUGUGUAUAAAAAUCUUCAACUCCACUUUUGUCUGUUCUAUUUAAAUGUGUGCACAUUUCCUUCUAAUGUUGUAUAUGAAAAAGAGACACCUCUUAGCAGUCUUUCAUAGAGCAAAAUUUUUUACUUUGAUAAAAUCUAAUUUAUCAAUAUUUUUAAAUUUUAUGGAUCAAUCAUGCUUUUGAGGUUGAAUUUAAGAAUGCUUUGCCUAGCCCUAGAUCCCAAGUAUCUUUUAAAAAUUAUUUUUCUAAAUGCAUUAUUUAUGUUUUACACUUAAGUCUAUAAUCCAUUUUGAGUCCAUGUGUAAGAUUUAGGUUAAGGUCAAGAUUUAUCUGUUUUUGUUGUUUUCUCUAUAAAUGUCAAUUGCUCCAGCACUAUUUGUUUAAAAGCCAAUCUUUCCUCCGCUGAGUUCUUCCUAUAAGUUUGUCAAAAGUCAAUUUGGCAUCUUUGUAUAAGUUUAUUUCUGGAUUCUCUAUUCUGUUUUAUUGAUCACUGCAUCUAUCCCUCUUGAUUAGCUAGAUAAUAAAUCCUACAAUAAGGUAGAAUUCUUCCCACUUUAUUCAUAUUCAAAAUAUUUUAAAGCUAUUCUAGUUUCUUUUUAUUUCCAUAUAUAUUUUAGGAUAAUCUUAUCUAUAUUUACAACAUAUGUUGCUAGGAUUUUGAUAGAAUUUGUUUUAAAUUUGUGUAUCAAUGUAGGGAAGACCUGACAUCUUUACUAUUACGUUGAUCUUCCAAUCAAUGAAUAUGGUAUAUCUCUCAGUUUAUAGCUAUUGUCUUUAAUUUAUUUCAUCAUGGUUUUUAGUUUUCAGCAGAGAAGCUUUAUACAUGUUUUGUUAUACAUGUAUAACAAAAGAAGCCUUAUACACUGACAUUUUAUAUUUUGAACAAUUGUAAAUGGUAUUGUUUAAAAAUUUUGUUGUCUAUGAUAGAAAUAAAAUUGAUUUUUGUAGGUUUAUCUUGUAACCUAUGACUUGCUGAGCUCGCUCAUUAGUUUUUUUAUUGUGAUAAAAUAUACAUGAGAUAAAUUUCAUCAUUAUAAUCAUUAAGUUUAGACAUCAAUUGCAUUAAGUACAUAAAUGCCUUAUGCAACCAUCAUCUCUAUCCAUCUCCAGACCCUUUGCAUCACCCUAAAAUGAAACUCUGUGCCCAUUAAACAAUAACUCCCCAUUCUGCCCUCACCCCAGCCCUUGGUAAUUACCAUCCUACCUUUUAUCUCUAUAAAUUUAACCAUCCCAGGUAACUCAUAUAAGUGGAAUCAUGCAGUGUUUGUCCUUUUGUAACUGGUUUAUUUCACUUAGCAUGAUGUCUUCAAGGUUUGCCUAUGUCAUAGCAUGUGUCAGAAUUUCAUCCCUUUUUAAACUUAAAUAAUAUUCCACUGUAGGCAUAUGCCACAUUUUGUUUAUUUGUUCAUCUGUUGAUGGGCAUUUGGGUUGUUUCCACCUUUUGGCUACUGUGAAUAAUGCUGCUGUGAUCAUGGGUAUGCAACUGUCUCCUGGAGUCCCUGCUAUCAAUUCUUGUGGGUAUAUACCCAGAAGUGGAAUUGUUGCAACAUAUAGUAAUUCUAUGUUUAAUUUUUUGAGGACCUGCCAUAAUGUUUUCCACAGUAGCUACAUUGUCUUAUAUUCCCAUUAAGAGUUCCAAUUUCCUCACAUCUUCACCAAUACUUAUUGUUUUCUGUUUUUUUAAAUAAUAGCCAUCAUAAUAAAAGUAACAUGGUAUCUCAUUGUGGUUUUAACUGCAUUUCCCUUUUUACUGGAUUGUUUGUAAUAUUGCUGUAAUUGAGUUGUAGGAGUUUUUAAAUAUGUUCUGAAUAAUUAAUUUCUUAUCAGAUAUGUCAUUUGCAAAUAUUUUCUGCCAUUCUCUGGGUUGUCAUUUCACUCUCUUGAUAGUGUCCUUUGAUGCACAGAAGUUUUGAAAUUUGAUAAAGUUUAAUUUGCGUAUGUAUUUAUUUUGUUGCUUAUGCUUUUGGUGUCAUAUCCAAGAAAUUAUUGCCAAAUUCAGUGUCAUGAAGAUUUUCCCCUGUGUUUUCCUCUAAGAGUAUUAUAGUUUUAACUCUUGCACUUAGAUUGAUCCGCUUUGAGUUAAUUUUAGUAUAUGGGGUAAGACAAGGGCUCAAAUUUGUUCUUUUGUUUGAAGAUUCUAGGUCAUUUGUGAUCUUUAGGAUUUUCUAUGUAGACAUUAAUGUCAUCUUCAAAUAUGAACAGUUUAUUUCUUCCUUUUGUAUAUGUAUGAAUUUACUUUCCUUUUCUUGCCUUAUUGCACUGGCUAGAGUUUUCAGUACUAUGAUGAAUAAAAUCAGUGAGAGCAGACACCCUUGCUUUGUUUCUAAUCUUAGGAGGAAAGCUUUCAGUCUUUCAUCAUUAGGUAUACUGUUAGUUGUAGGCUUAUUAUAGAUGCUCUUUAUCAGGUUGAGGCAGUUUCCUCCUUGGUUAAGACUUUCUAUUUUUCAUUUUCAGUUAUGACCAGGCAUGUUCAUAACUGCUCAUCAAAACUUUGAAUUAGUGGCUGCUUUAACAUCCUUCUCAGACAAUUCUAACAUCUGUUUUGUUGGUGGUGGCAUCUAUCAAUUGUCUUUUUCAUUCUGUUUGAGAUCUUCCUUGCGUUUGGUAUGAUUUUUUUAAAUAUUAUGUCAUGAAACUGCAUCUUAUUUAAAUCUUCUGUUUUAGUUGGCUAUGUCUGACAUCACUUCCCCAGGGGAAGGUGUUGUUACUGCUAGUGGAGGGUGAGAAUUAUGGCUCUCCACUGACAUUGUGGUGGGAUUGGUCCCAUUACCACUGGGCAGGGUUGAAAGUCCUGACUUUCUGCUAGGCCUUCUCUGACUUCAUCGCAGCAGGAGGAAAAGAUGCCUCUGGAGUUGAAGUCAGGUUGCACUGACACUGUGUGUGUAUGGAGGUAGGCUGGGGUGAAAGUGGAGACUCAUUACCACAUGGUGAGUAGUUUCCAGCUCUCUAUUUGGCCUUCUCUGAUACCACCCAGACAGGGACAUUGGGGAUACCUCAUUACAGCCUAGUGAGGGUCAAACUCUAGGCUCCCCACUCAGUCUUUGCUAUCAUGGACACUGUAGGACCAUAGUUUUUUCUGUGCUGUUUGCUUGAUGUGUCUUCCUUGGACCCUGAGUUCCAUAGCUGGUCUGCAUUCCUCUCUCCACCUUUAAGACGUCUUCUUAUGUUUAUUUCAUAUUUAACAUCCAGGGUGGUAAUUAGAGGGAAGAAUAGAGGGAAAAGUACAGUUGCACUUUGUUGUUCAAAGAGCAGUUUUGAACUGCACAGACCCAUUUCUCUGAGCACACCCAGGGAUGAUUGUACUUGUAUAAAAUUUUUUUCCUGGAUGCAGAAUUCUCAAUUGACUGUGAAAGUUCAUAACAAAGAAAACAGUGGGGAAGACAAAUCUGGAAAUGAGGAAAAUAAAAAUUAAAUAGUGAGACCACCCAUGGAGCUUGUGGCAAAGCCUGAAUUGAAUCCGCUGUAUCUUAAGAUUGUGCCUCAUUCUAAAUUUAAGUCACCCUUCUCAUUAUGAAAGUGUCACAACUUCUCAGUAGGUGAGGAGACAGUCUAAAUUUGAGAAAAGAAAGUUACAACAAAGGUUUUGAGCAAGCUGCUAAGUGGAUUUAUUCAUGUUUGAGAAAUCAAAUAUAUGGUUAAUGAGCUCUUUAACUAGAAGCCAACACUAGGGAGGAGUAGACAGAAGUCACGGGGAGGGAGCCCCCGGACAUUUCAAAAGACUUUGCCCUGCAACAUCUCCUCCACAUUUAAGCUUUUAGGUUAUUGUAGCCACAUCACAAGCAUGUUACCUACCCAGAUAUUGUCUGCGCAUCAUUCCCAAAAGCUUCCCUGGGUCUUCAUAAUAUUAAUGAGAUUCUCCCCCAGGUUAGACCCCUUUGGCUUGAGUCAGAAACAGAAUUAAUCCGGGGGACAAUCCAGCAGCACCCAUCUCUGGGUUGCAGAAAUAUCUGAGGUGACCAGGCAGUGUUUGGAGUCCCCUCAGUUAGCUAACAAAGUGAGUUCACAGCUUCCAAGACCCCAGGCUUUCCAGGCUAAUAAAGAGCUGAGGUUAUAGGCUCUCCUUAUCAAACGCUCUUUGGCAGCUGCCAUAACCAUUCCAAGUCUAGUCCUAGAAUAGAAAUGACGCGGUUUCAGGAGCUGACAGAUGGAACUUUAAGCCUUCCUUCCUGCCACAUCUGAAGUUCUUUUUUAAAAAAAUAGAAAACCAUGACAAUAAACACUCCUUGAAUGCCCUGUGGAAAAGUGUACUCCUCAGAAUUCACUAAAGUGGGGUGAAGCAGUGGGUUGUGGUGCUGAGAAAACAUCUCUUCCCCUCGGCAGUAUAUUGGAAUCUCAUAGAAACUUCUGUGGCUGGGAAGCAAACAUGCUCUCUGCCCCAUUGCUCUUAUUCAUCUUUAGACCUGAUAAUACAGUUUGAACUUCAAGUUGCACUUUAAAUGGCAUGCAUUUUUA
rnacentral:lncRNA from 1 species